AGCUGUCGACGGCGCUUGCUAGAUGGGACUCCAAUUCAUGCAUCGGCGAGGCGUUCAGCUGUAUGUGGGCGCGUUAUUACGAGUACAUCGAGAAGGUGGAACCCGUCAAAAAGUUGCUGCAAAAGAAGCUGUCAAGCAACGAGGAGCUACGGGAACUGUUGAAGCUGCAUCGCGGCGCAGCCAAACACUCCGUGCAGCAACUUCUGCAACUACCGGU